rnacentral:rRNA from 1 species
AUACGAAAGGUGCAAGCGUUGUUCGGAUUUACUGGGCGUAAAGAGAGUGUAGGUUGUUUAUUAAGUCGGAUGUGAAAUCCCGGGGCUCAACCUCGGAACUGCAUUCGAUACUGGUAGACUAGAGUUCGGGAGGGGUAAGCGGAAUUCCGCGUGUAGCAGUGAAAUGCGUAGAUAUGCGGAGGAACACCUGAGGCGAAGGCGGCUUACUGGACCGAUACUGACACUGAGACUCGAAAGCGUGGGUAGCAAACAGGAUUAGAAACCCCUGUAGUCC